AACUGGUUGAUCCUGCCAGUAGUGAUAUUCUUGUCUCAAGGAUUUAGCCGUGUAGGUACAAGCCAUCAAUAGAAGCGAAACCGCAGAUGGCGCAUUAAAUUAGUUACGAUUCCCUUGGCGGUUAAGAUUACUUGGAUAACUGUUGUAAUCCUAGAGCUAAAACAUGCACUGGAGCUCCUAUCCUGCGAGGGAGACGAGCGCUUUUAUUAGACCAAGAUCAGCCUGCGGGAUUCAUUUACGUGGCAGCAACUAGUGACUCUAUGGCGGAUCGCACGGGCUCGAAACGGUGACGCGUCUUUUGAGUGUCUGCCUUAUCAAUUGUCGAUGGUAGGUCAUGCUCCUACCAUGGUAGUCGCGGAUGACGGGGAAUCAAAAUUUGAUUCCGGAGAAGUAGCUACCACAACCAAAGAAGGUAGCAGACACGCAAAUUACUUACCUCUCUGUUCAGGGAGGUGAUAGUGACGAAAGAUAACGAUACGGAACUCUUUCGAGACCACGUGAUCAGAAUGAUCGUAAGGUAAAAAGUGUUCUAAAGAGCGAAUGGAGGGCAAGUCUAGUGUCGGCUGCUGCUAUAAUUUCAGCUCCGAUAGCGUAAGCUAAAUUUGUUACGGAGGAAAAGCUCAUAGUCGGUUCUCAGCUCAAGACGGGGAAGGGGUGCCUCAACAUCCCUUCCGGUCUCGCAGGGUCUGGCCAUUUUCCAGGCUGCGAUGUUAACCGGUUGUGGCGGUCCGGUCAGUUUACCUUGAAGAAACUGAAGUGCUCAAAGCAGGCCUGUCGCCCGCACAAAGAUGCAUGGAAUAAUGCAAGAUGACCUCGAGUCUAUUGUGUUUC